rnacentral:rRNA from 1 species
UUUUUGAUUAGUUAUGUCGCAAUUGUAUCACGUUUCUUUUUUCUUUCUUCAAAAGCUAGAAAGUGACAAAAGUUAACAAUCCUGUGAAUCAGCCUUAACAAAGUGUGUGAUGACGAAGGUCUUUUCUGCUAUUCUUUUGAGGCCCCGUAAUUGAAAUGAGUACACUCUAAAUCCUUUAACGAGGAUCCAUUGGAGGGCAAGUCUGGUGCCAGCAGCCGCGGUAAUUCCAGCUCCAAUAGCGUAUACUAAAGUUGCUGCGGUUAAAAAGCUCGUAGUUGGAUCUCAGUUACAGGCGGGAAGUGCGUGGACACCACGUUACGGCCCGUGCUGAACAUCAUGCCUGUCGUGGCUUGGUUCCCUUCAUCAGGUGCCUUGCUUUGGCCGGCGCGUUUACUUUGAAAAAAUUAGAGUGCUCAACGCAGGCGAUUCGCCUGAAUAACAGUGCAUGGAAUAAUAGAACAAGAUCCUGUUUCUGUUCUGUUGGUUUUUGGAAUACAGGAUAAUGAUUAAGAGGGACAGACGGGGGCAUUCGUAUUGCGGCGCUAGAGGUGAAAUUCUUGGACCGUCGCAAGACGAACUACUGCGAAAGCAUUUGCCAAGAAUGUUUUCAUUGAUCAAGAACGAAAGUUAGAGGUUCGAAGGCGAUCAGAUACCGCCCUAGUUCUAACCAUAAACGAUGCCAACCAGCGAUCCGCCUGAGUUACUCAAAUGACUCGGCGGGCAGUAUAAAAUACAUACAGAGCUUGUGCUCUGUAUGUAUUUUAUACUGUGAGUAUCACGC